rnacentral:rRNA from 1 species
GACGAACGCUGGCGGCGUGCCUAAUACAUGCAAGUCGAACGCAGUGGGGACGGGUGAGUAACACGUGGGUAACCUCCCAUCAGAGGGGAUAACACUUGGAAACAGGUGCUAAACCGAUACUGAUGGAUGGACCCGCGGUGCAUUAGCUAGUUGGUGAGGUAACGGCUCACUAAGGCCACGUCGCAUAGCCGACCUGAGAGGGUGAUCGGCAGCACUGAGACUGAGACGCGGCCCAGAGUCCGACGAGAGGCAGCAGUAGGGAAUCUUCGGCAAUGAACGAAGGUCUGACCGAGCAACGCCGCGUGAGUGAGGAAGGUUUUCGGAUCGUAAAACUCUGUUGUUAGAGAAGCGGUAUCUAACCAGAAAGCCACGGCUAACUACGUGCCAGCAGCCGCGGUAAUUC